rnacentral:misc_RNA from 1 species
CAAGAGUAUUUCAGUUUGGCUUUAUGCCCUCUGAAAAUCUCCACCCUUUGUUUACAUUACCUUUGUUGUUGCCUCGGUGGUGCUUUAUAGCACCUGCCGGCAGACACCUUCAAAGACCCUUGAUUUAAUACUAUAGUCAGAGCUGUAACAAGCAAAAGAUUAAUAAAUCA